UCUAUAUUCUCGGUUUUCACUUAUCGAUCUAUAUUCUUCCCUAACCUAUUCGAUUAAUACGCCAUAGUUAAACUAAUAUAAUAGGUUUUUUAUAAUAAUGUUUUAUAAAUAAUUAUUAAAUAAUAUCCAACAAAUGCAACUGUCUAUCUAAAGUGUUUU